rnacentral:tRNA from 1 species
CCCCCUAUAGCCCAACUGGCAGAGGCAGGAGACUUAAAAUCUCUUCAGUCAGGGUUCGAAUCCCUGUGGGGGGACCA